GACGAACGCUGGCGGCGUGCUUAACACAUGCAAGUCGAACGGAAAGGCCUGUCCUUCCUUGUGUUGGACGGGUACUCGAGUGGCGAACGGGUGAGUAACACGUGAGUUAUCUUCCCCCAACUUUUGUAUAAGCCUGGGAAACUGGGUCUAAUUCCCGAUAGGACUGCAGGGUGGUGCCGGUGGUUGAAAACGAUUUGCUAGUGGUUGGGGAUGAGCUCGCGGCCUAUCAGCUUGUUGGUGGGGUAAUGGCCUACCAAGGCGGCGACGGGUAGCCUGGCUGAGAGGGUGGGCGGCCGCAUUGGGACUGAGAUACGGCCCCGACUCCUACGGGAGGCAGCAGUGGGGAGUAUUGCGCGAUGGGCGGAAGCCUGAUGCAGCGACGCCGCGUGGGGGAUGCCGGCCUUCGGGUUGUAAACUCCUUUCGACCGCGAGGAAGCCGCCUGGUUGGAAGGGUGGUGACGGUAGUGGUAGAAGAAGCACUGGCUAACUACGUG
rnacentral:rRNA from 1 species